rnacentral:lncRNA from 1 species
ACAAGUCGGUUGCUUAAGCAACACCCCAGGAGAACCGGCAGAGGAGACACAAGCAGAAAACUAAACGGGCCAGAUGUGGCGCUGACUAAGCGGGCUCCAGCCCGCUGCAAGACGCGCUGUGCAGGAAGGCCCACAGCCGCCCAGGCGCUGCGACGCCAGCCAGAGCUAAAACACCACUAUAACGACGGGUCCAUGUGUUAGAGCAUGCGUUAGCAUGCGUGCCGCAUGGCCCAAACGCACGCUUAACGCGUGAAAAGCAUGUGCUGUACGCAUGCGGUGCCCGCCCAUACGCAUGCGUGCGCUACCAGAGCAUGCGUUACCUAACGCAUGCUGGUGUUGGCUAGCGGCCGCAGCGACUCUUUCUGGAUGUACGCAUGCGUCCCGAACGCAUGCCAUACGCAUGCUUGAAGCACAUAUGCCGGUUGCGUGAAGUACUACGCAUGCCAUGGCGCAUGCGGGACGCAUGUGCGUUACCUAACGCAAGCAGCUGCCCCCAACUGCACGCUUCCCACCCGCAUGCAUGCACGCACACGUGGGGCACACGAAGCCAAUUCCCUCAACUGCUCAUUUGUGUUAUAGUUCAUGCAACGGCACGUGCCGCGCGUCCAGUGUAAACGAGGAUUCGGCCUGUUUCUCUGAAGGCGUGAGUCCGCCUCCAUCCACCAGCCUCUCCUUAGGCUUUUAGUCCGCCAUCGCACACCCUGGAAAGGAAGUCUGCCCGCUCCACAUGCCCUGUCACCCAUCGACCUCCUCGCUCACCGAACGUGCCCUACCGUAACAUGAAUACAGAUGCGUAUGUAGCCGCUUCCGGGUAACAACCAAAUGCCACCCGCCAAGGCAUAAGCGGCAGAGGUGUGCCCAUACUAAAGUCUUGCCAAACACACAAUGACAACCACAACGUCCGACCUGCUGCACAGUGCUACCGCAGACUCUGCAUGCUGCCGGUGCCGGCACUCCAGUCCGUAGCUAGCCACGGAUGUGCAUGUAGCCACUUCCGCGGAACAACCAAACGCCACCCGCCAAGGCAUAAGCGGCACAGGUGGACCCAUACUAAGUCUUGCCAAACACACACGACCUCAACCACAACGUCCGACCUGCUGCACAGUGCCACCGCAGACUCCGCAUGCUGCCGGUGCCAGCGCUCCAGUCCACAGCUAGCCACACCCGUGCUGCCCUUCGUAAGCCUGCAUAGUGUUCAGGACGAUUCGGUCAGGAACCAAACCACAAAACCAGGUAUAUCAGAGGGUAAGACGCAAGGUACCUUUCCCCCCAUGUUCAGCUGCAGACACGCUACUCAUGCAGUGCUUACUUCAGCAAUAGCGAAAUAAUAUCUGGACAUAGACUUGCCUGUUGGGGUUAACGUGUGAGUGCGCCACGUCUAGCCCACCCAGGGGUGGUCCGCACGGGUGGCCCUUCGUGCGGCCGGAGUCCUGAGGGAGGGCGGGAGGGUAAUACCAGGACUGAGAACUGAGCAUGAACUGAUGACAGGCUUGUACGGUGCCAUUAUACAGACACCUUAGCAUGCGCAUGCUCUCAGCUGACAGCCUCGGAAGCUAGCAACCAAGUCGCGCGGAUGGUACCCCCGCCUCACCUGCGCCACGCGUGAUGGCUCUGUAGCCUUUUGAAAUGCUUUUGUUGAGCCUGAACCUGAACGAAUUGAAGGUGGGCGAUAAAUAUUGCGCUCGGUCAACGACGUCACCACCCCUGCAACAACCCAGCGUUAUAGCCGCUGCAAGGCGCACCUGUGCGCCACAUAGCGUUACUAGUGGAGACUGGGCCUUAAAAGCAAACAUAGCAGGGCGAGGGCGUCCUCUGCCGAGUGGCAGAGUACUGUUUGCGGGUCUCUACAUACUGACACCUUGACGUGUCUGUAGUCUUUAGUAAUGUGUGAUAUGCAUAGAAGGAUACAGUAUAUAAAAAUUGAACUGGCAAAGAAGGAAGUGCCGCAAAGAGUUUGGAAGCAGUGCCCCAUGCAACACUUAAACUUGGUUGGCCGCAUACUUGAUACUUGCUUGUCUUGCCAUGUGCGGUGUUGAAAGGGGGAUUAAUAUGAACGCACACGGGGCCUUCUCUGCGCACGCGCCUCAGCUGAUGCCCAACGCCGACAGCCGGGGAACGC